UACGUAGGGUGAGAGCGUUGUCCGGAAUUACUGGGCGUAAAGAGCUCGUAGGUGGUUUGUCGCGUUGUUCGUGAAAACUCACAGCUUAACUGUGGGCGUGCGGGCGAUACGGGCAGACUGGAGUACUGCAGGGGAGACUGGAAUUCCUGGUGUAGCGGUGGAAUGCGCAGAUAUCAGGAGGAACACCGGUGGCGAAGGCGGGUCUCUGGGCAGUAACUGACGCUGAGGAGCGAAAGCGUGGGGAGCGAACAGG
rnacentral:rRNA from 1 species